GAUCAAGAAAUGCCUGUUGGCACCUGAUAAUUUAUUAAGAAGUUCAAUUCAUAAGUGUUUAUGACUACCUAAUUAGUGUUCAUUCUUUUUUUUUUGCUGUGUUCUUAUCUAGGAUCAAGAAUAUAAAUGGAGGUGGCAACUAGUUUUUGUUUUUGAAGCUGUAUUUAAGAUUAUAUUUCUCAAAUAACCUUUCUUUAUGGUGUAAUUUUAUUUGAUUCUUUCUUUGGUGGAGAGGUCUUCCUACUCAACUAGUGAUCCAUCUUCUUGGCUUUAACUAUAGUUGACAGAGAGCUCUGCACAGCUCUCUGCCAGGUUUAAAGGCUUUUUCACUCGUCAUGUAAACUUCCUAUGCUCCUGAUUAGUUCAUUUUGAAUUGCACAUAUACCUUGAUUUGUAUCCAAAUCCUGUGAUGAGAACUGAGGUUUUACCCUAUCUUCAUUUGCUGCUGUACGAGUAGAUUGGACCACUUCAUUGAUGUCUCUUUGCAAUUGCAGGUUGAGCCACCAGUGAUGCACAUGUUGAGAUCUGGUUAGAGCUAAAAAAAAAGAUCUGUCUUGACAGAGAAAGGGAUUUUUCUUUGCCUGAAAUCCAAAACAUAAGUUAUAUGGCGGGACUCAUCCCUAUUUAAUAGGCGGUCCUAUAUGUUUAUGUGUUUGUGUGUAUCGGGCUUAGGCAAUAAUUUUCUAGUAUCAAAGUUAAUAUUUAUCAGCUUACUAAAAGUAGCAGAAUUCCAAUACUCUUCAUUAUGGCCAAAACUGGCAUAUGGAACCA
rnacentral:misc_RNA from 1 species